UAAUACGAAGGGUGCAAGCGUUACUCGGAAUUACUGGGCGUAAAGCGUGCGUAGGUGGUGAGUUAAGUCUGUCGUGAAAGCCCCGGGCUCAACCUGGGAAUGGCGAUGGAUACUGGCUCGCUAGAGUGCGGUAGAGGGUGGUGGAAUUCCCGGUGUAGCAGUGAAAUGCGUAGAGAUCGGGAGGAACAUCAGUUGCGAAGGCGGCCACCUGGACCAGCACUGACACUGAGGCACGAAAGCGUGGGGAGCAAACAGGAUUAGAUACCCUGGUAGUCCACGCCCUAAACGAUGCGAACUGGACGUUGGGAGCAACUAGGCUCUCAGUGUCGAAGCUAACGCGUUAAGUUCGCCGCCUGGGGAGUACGGUCGCAAGACUG
rnacentral:rRNA from 1 species